rnacentral:rRNA from 1 species
ACGGGGUGCAGCAGGCGCGAAAUCUUCACAAUGGGCGAAAGCCUGAUGAGGGGACCCUGAGUGAUAUUGCACUGCAAUAUCUUUUAUCAAGUCUAUAUAGCUUGGUGAAUAAGCGGUGGGCAAGACGGUUGCCAGCCGCCACGGUAAUAACCGCGCCGCAAGUGGUAGCCAUGUUUAUUGGGCCUAAAGCAUUCGUAGCCGGUCUAAUAAGUCCUUAGUGAAAUCGGAUAGCAAACUAUUCGGCUAUCUAUGGAUACUGUUAGACUUGGGACCGGAAGAGGUCGAGGGUAUUUCAUGGGUAAGGGUGAAAUCUGUUGAUCCAUGAAGGACCACCUGUGGCGAAGGCGCUCGACUAGAACGGAUCCGACGGUGAGGGAUGAAAGCUAGGGGAGCGACCCGGAUUAGAUACCCGGUUAGUCCUAGCUGUAAACGAUGCCCACUUGGUGUGGCGAAACUUUCGUAGUUUUGCUGUGCCGUAGCGAAGAAAUCAUUUUCUAAAUAAUAGAUAUGAUUUUGCAAGUGUUAAGUGGGCCGCCUGGGGAGUACGGUCGCAAGGCUGAAACUUAAGGGAAUUGGCGGGGGAGCAC